CUUAAGUAGAUCUCAAGGAGCUGGAGGACUGGAAGGCUAUAUCAGUGAGGGAAGGAGGGAAAGGCAGAUGGGGAAACAGGGACACGCAGACCUGGCAGCUGGCAGAGUAGACCAGUCUUGGACAGCAAUUACCCAAGGGAAAUUUUUUAAUGAAAUCAUCCAUGAUGCACCAUGAAAUCUUCAGUAAAAUCUACCUUGCACACUAAUACCCUGUGGAGUGGAUUUUAUAUUAUGGAAAUUGGGAGAAGAACUGUCAGUAUUAGCACAGGACAAACAUAGAGGAUGCUGUAGAGAGAGACAACUUUCUGAAUGCCCAGAUGUGGGAGAUGCACUAUGAGUCAGAAGUCCAAGGCUUUCUCCCUAAGCAGCAAUGAUGACUGCGUGAAUUUCAACCAGUCAUCAGCUGCGGUUCUCAGGAUGAGAAUGGGUAUACUUCACAGACUUCUCAAGUUGUGCUACUGUGUAAAAAGAAUGUGCUUUAUAUAGUUUGGAUGUAUGUCCCUCUAAAUCUCAUGUUGAAUUGUAAUCCCCAAUGUUAGAGGUGGGGCCUGGUGGGAGGUGAUUUGAUCUUAGGGGUGGAUUUCUCAUGAACGGUUUAGUGUCAUCCUCUUGGUGCUAUCCUUGCAAUAGUGAGUGAGUUCUUGCAAGAUCUGGUUGUUUAAAAGUGUGUGGCACCUCCCCUGUUUCUCGCUCCCAUUCUUGCCAUGUAAGACACCUGCUCCUCCUUUACCUUCUGCCAUGAUUGUAAACUUCCAGAGGCCUCUGCAGAAGCAAAUCCUGGUGCUGUGCUUUCUGUACAGCCUGCAGAACCAUGAGCCAAUUAAACCUCUUUUCUUUAUACAUUACUCAGUCUCUAAGUAUUGUUUUAUAGAAAUGCAGGAAUGGCCUAAUACAGUGC